rnacentral:rRNA from 1 species
CCGAAUACAUUUAGCAUGGGAUAAUGGAAUAGGACCCUGUCCUCCUAUUUUCAGUNUGGUUUUGGCAGCGCGAGGACUAGGGUAAUGAUUAAUAGGGAUAGUUGGGGGCAUUAAUAUUUAAUUCGUCAGAGGUGAAAUUCUUGGAUUUAUGAAAGAUUAACUUCUGCGAAAGCAUCUGCCAAGGAUGUUUUCAUUAAUCAAGAACGAAAGUUAGGGGAUCGAAGACGAUCAGAUACCGUCGUAGUCUUAACCAUAAACGAUGCCGACCAGCGAUUAGGAGACGUUGAAUACAAAACACCACCAUCGGCGCGGUCGUCCUUGGCGUCGGUCUUUCGGGGCCGGCGCGGGGGCGGCUUAGCCCGGUGGCACCGGUGAAUGACUCCCCUA